rnacentral:rRNA from 1 species
CGCGGCCUAUCAGCUUGUUGGCGAGGUAACGGCUCACCAAGGCAACGACGGGUAGCUGGUCUGAGAGGAUGGCCAGCCACAUUGGGACUGAGAUACGGCCCAGACUCCUACGGGAGGCAGCAGUGGGGAAUCUUGCGCAAUGGCCUAACGGCUGACGCAGCGACGCCGCGUGUGGGAUGAAGCUCUUCGGAGUGUAAACCACUGUUGCCCGGGACGAACAGCUCGAUUAAUCGAGCCUGACGGUACCGGGUGAGGAAGCACCGGCUAACUCCGUGCCAGCAGCCGCGGUAAUACGGGGGGUGCGAGCGUUGUCCGGAAUCACUGGGCGUAAAGGGCGCGUAGGUGGUUUGAUAAGGGUGUGGUGAAAGUCCGGGGCUCAACCCCGGAUCUGCCGUGCCGACUGUCAAACUCGAGGACUGUAGAGGCAGACGGAAUUCCGGGUGUAGCGGUGGAAUGCGUAGAGAUCCGGAGGAAGACCGGUGGCGAAGGCGGUCUGCUGGGCAGUUUCUGACACUGAGGCGCGACAGCGUGGGGAGCAAACAGGAUUAGAUACCCUGGUAGUCCACGCCGUAAACGAUGGGUACUAGGUGCCUGGGGGAGCGACCCUCUGGGUGCCGGCGCUAACGCAGGAAGUACCCCGC